rnacentral:misc_RNA from 1 species
AUAGAAAUCUUAAACUAAGUGGGAUUUCAAAUGCUCCUUUUUACUUAGCUUUGUGUCAUAGAUCUCAAGACCAAUGUCUGUGGUGAUGCUCCUUUUAUGCUUGGGAUGCCAGCUGCUAACUAGGUUCCCUUGGGUUGCUAUCAUAUAUCUAGGGGACCUCUUUUUUAGGCUUGUCAGCCAUGUAUGGUCUCUUCAUCUUCUACCUUUCCACCAGUGGUGUUGUGUUCUCUCGUUGAGCUUCUCUUUGCGGCUUGAGUUUGAGCAUGGCUUCUCUUUGCGGCGUGAGUUUGAGCAUGGCUUCUCUUCUAUUGGGUCAUGGGAUUUCAAGUCUUGGAUAUCUUCUCUGUUAGGGUUUCAAAUGUUAUGGGCUUAGGUCUUAUUUAGACAAAGUCUUGAGAUUUAGCUGGUAUUGUACCAUGGACUUGCUUCUGUAUUAUGGCCUUUGGCCUUUUUUAAUGCAAUGAAAUCUAACUCUUAUCUUUGAGAAAGAAAAGAAAAUCCGUUAGAAAACUCUUUUUUCUCAUGUCUAUUUGAAUACAAAAGAAUGGUAAUAAAAAGACUCCUAUUCAUGGCGCGUAAUGUAAUGCCAUUAACUCCAUAAAUUUUUGCAUUAUUGGUUUAGUGUUUUUUUUGGUUUGUUUUCUACAAAUCAUUUUUUUUAAUUAAACCUAGCCACGGACCAGAACUACCGAUUCAACCAAACUCAUAGUUUGCUGUAAUUUUGGUUUGAAACGAUUCCAAUUUAAAAUGACUCUAGGAUGGUUCUAGUUAUAUCAUAGUAUUAUCAAACUAUAAAUUUUUAGAUAUCAUCUAUUUAAUUUUUAAUAUAAAAAAUCAAAAAGUCUAAAUAUAAACUCAAUAGAGAAAAUCUAAAUAUAUAGUCUUUCAAAAUAUAUAGAUGAUGAGCAUAUAUAUAUAGCAUUUCUCCUUAAACAAUUUUUUCUGGCU